CCGACGGUAGCUCAGUUGGCAGAGCGGAGGACUGUAGAUUGUUUGCGGUGAUCCUUAGGUCGGUGGUUCGAAUCCGCCCCGUCGGA
rnacentral:tRNA from 1 species